UACGUAGGGACCAAGCGUUGUUCGGAUUUACUGGGCGUAAAGGGCGCGUAGGCGGCAAUUCAAGUCAGCUGUGAAAUCUCCGAGCUUAACUCGGAACGGUCAGCUGAUACUGUUUGCUAGAGUACAGAAGGGCAAUCGGAAUUCUUGGUGUAGCGGUGAAAUGCGUAGAUAUCAAGAGGAACACCUGAGGUGAAGACGGGUUGCUGGGCUGAUACUGACGCUGAGGCGCGAAAGCUAGGGUAGCAAACGGG
rnacentral:rRNA from 1 species